rnacentral:rRNA from 1 species
AUGGAGGAGCUGCUGCCUUGGCAGCGGACAUCGGCGUGGGUCAAAUCUGUGCGGCGGUGGGGGUGGCGGACGGUGACAUUGCACUCUAACAGACGCAAGCGUCAGAACAGUCUGAGUAGAUCGGCCCAAAAGCGCCUGGAUGGACACAAAGGCAACCUGUCCGGACCGUGGGGAAGCUCCAGAACAAGCUGGUCGACCAACUUGAUGCAAGAACUGUGGAGUAGAGGGUCAGCGACGAAACAAAUGAAACAAAGCAGCGGAGCUAAGACUGAAAAGGGACUGAAAAAUGAUGCAUGGUUGACGUAA